rnacentral:tRNA from 1 species
GCCUUCAUAGUGUAGUGGUCAGCACGCUCGACGCGUAACCGAGAAGUCCAUGGUUCGAUUCCCGGCGAAGGCC